AAAAAAAAAAUAGCACUAGUUCUGAGCCUCCAGUAUCCCAUACUGCAUAGCGAGUGUGUUUGCAUUUUACAUUCAGCGGCGCUACUGUUUUUGUUGGCCGGGCAUUUUCUUUUAGGAAUUAUCAGCUUAUAUUUAAAUAACGAAUCUUAGUUUUAAGUACAUCACACGCAAACAUGGAGAUCGGCACAGAAAUAAGCAAGAAAAUACGGUGACUUUUUCGUGGCAGGUUGGGAGACUGAGGUUAAGGUUCGCGAAAAUGCUCUCCAACCAUCUAAAGUGGCGUAAAAAGUGUGACCCUUUGCAACGAAAGCUAGUGUUUCUAUUGGACAGAUUCAGGCUGCUAUCAAGGGGAAACUUCAAGAACUCGGUGCCUAUUUUGAUGAAGAGUUAUACCAGACUAUAUCGUGGUGAUGGCGGCCGACAAGAAGACUUCACAGCAGAUGUCUGACGACCUGGCCCUCGUCCUUGGAAACAAUACUAUCAAGAUUACAGUCUGGUUACAUGGAGUCCCUGAGAAGCUGAGCUCUGUGGCAGUAGGUCUGUGGCAGUAGGUAUGUUCAGGUUACACAGAGUCCUGGAGAAGCUGAGCUCUGUGGCAGUAGGUCUGUGGCAGUAGGUAUGUUCAGGUUACAUGGAGUCCUGGAGAAGCUGAGCUCUGUGGCAGUAGGUAAGUUCAGGUUGCGCCAAAGGAGUCUGUGCUUUCACUGAAAGUAACACUGUAGCGACUGGUGAGAGAGGGUAUCGCCCUAUCAGAGAUCAAAAGAACCCGAGAUGGUUAUGUAACAGACUUCAAGGCCAGGGUUGUUAUAAUACUGGACUAUAAAGUCAUCUUGUGUGUUGAGCGUUUACUCUUUUCUGUUCUUGAAUAGAGACCAUUCAUUUUUUUAAACAAAUGCUUUAUCUGUUGAAAGGUGUUAUCUGUCCAUGUGUAACUAAAUUGACACUCUCUCUCUCUGUCUCUCUGUCUCUGUCUGUCUGUCUGUGUAUCUAGAACCAGAGUCGAUGAGGCCUCCGCUCUACUCUGAAGCUGCGGCAUCUCAGCUGCGAAGAGUGAGGGGUCGAAGGGGCUUGUGGUGUCCAGUUCUCGCUCUCUGAUAGGACAGAGGCCCGCGUGUCCAUCUCCGCCCAUGAGCACAGUACCACAGAGACAAACGGUUCCCAUGGCUCCCAGGACCCGUUCAGCCAGCGAUGAGAUGAAAGCAUCCAUCGAGCUGGUUCAGGAGCACCUCCGCGGCUUGGCCCCCAGGGGACAGACUUGCCCCCCCUCAGAGUCUCAGACCCCCAGGCAGCUAGCUCGGCGACAAGAGACGAGCAGCCGAGACUUGAGUCCAGAUGAUGUGAUGUUGCUGUUCGGUUAUUUAUUUAUUUAUUUUUACAUUUUCUUAUGGUUUAAUUAUCAACGAUCUGGUCGGUCUUAUUUUCUUUUAUUUAAUUUUUAUUUGUGAAACUUAACAGAUUUUUUUUUUUUAACCAGACAACUUACAAGGGUUUUAUUAAGUUGUGGUACGGCACAUUUUUUUUUGUUGAUAUUGCUGAAAGUAUAUUAAAGUACUCCACAUGUCAA